rnacentral:misc_RNA from 1 species
GAUGAAGAACGUAGUGAAAUGCGAUAAGUAAUGUGAAUUGCAGAAUUCAGUGAAUCAUCGAAUCUUUGAACGCACAUUGCGCCCCUUGGUAUUCCGGGGGGCAUGCCUGUUCGAGCGUCAUUUCAACCCUCAAGCUCUGCUUGGUAUUGGGCUCCGUCCUCCUCGGACGCGCCUCAAAGACCUCGGCGGUGGCGUCUUGCCUCAAGCGUAGUAGAAACACCUCGCUUUGGAGUGCAUGGCGUCGCCCGCCGGACGAAACCUUUUGUAUUUUCUCAAGGUUGACCUCGGAUCAGGUAGGGAUACCCGCUGAACUUAAGCAUAUCAUAAGCGGAGGA